rnacentral:misc_RNA from 1 species
GAUGAAGAACGUAGCGAAAUGCGAUAACUAAUGUGAAUUGCAGAAUUCAGUGAAUCAUCGAGUCUUUGAACGCACAUUGCGCCCCCUGGUAUUCCGGGGGGCAUGCCUGUCCGAGCGUCAUUGCUGCCCUCAAGCACGGCUUGUGUGUUGGGCUCCGUCCCCCCGGGGACGGGCCCGAAAGGCAGCGGCGGCACCGAGUCCGGUCCUCGAGCGUAUGGGGCUUUGUCACCCGCUCUGUAGGCCCGGCCGGCGCCAGCCGACAACCCAUCCUCCUUUUCAGGUUGACCUCGGAUCAGGUAGGGAUACCCGCUGAACUUAAGCAUAUCAAAAGCGGAGGA